rnacentral:rRNA from 1 species
UGAACGCUGGCGGCGUGCCUAAUACAUGCAAGUCGAGCGAACGGACGAGAAGCUUGCUUCUCUGAUGUUAGCGGCGGACGGGUGAGUAACACGUGGAUAACCUACCUAUAAGACUGGGAUAACUUCGGGAAACCGGAGCUAAUACCGGAUGAUAUUUUGAACCGCAUGGUUCAAAAGUGAAAGACGGUCUUGCUGUCACUUAUAGAUGGAUCCGCGCUGCAUUAGCUAGUUGGUAAGGUAACGGCUUACCAAGGCAACGAUGCAUAGCCGACCUGAGAGGGGGAGUCGCCAAAAGGGGAACGAAAACCGGGCCAGAACCCCUAGGGGGGGCGGAGGUGGGAAUCUUCCGAAAGGGGGCAAAGCCUGAACGGGACAACGCGGGGGGGGGAAGAAGGGUCUUGGAAUCGAAAAACUUUUUUAUAGGGAAAAAACAUUUGUGUAGGAAAUUGUGCACAUCUGGAGGGUACAUAAUAAGAAACCCAGGGCAAACUACGGC